rnacentral:tRNA from 1 species
GCCCCUGUAGUAUAGCUUGGAUAGUACACAUGGUUGCGGUCCGUGAGAUCCCGGGUUCAAAUCCUGGCAGGGGCG